AUUGAACGCUGGCGGCAGGCCUAACACAUGCAAGUCGAGCGAGCGGCGGACGGGUGAGUAAUGUAUGGGGACUGCCCGUUAGAGGGGGAUAACUACUGGAAAAGGUAGCUAAUACCGCAUACUAUCCGAUAACCCAUAUGGGGUUAGCUAGUAGGUGAGGUAAUGGCUCACCUAGGCGACGAUUCCUAGCUGGUCUGAGAGGAGGAUCAGCCACACUGGGACUGAGACACGGCCCAGACUCCUACGGAGGCAGCAGUGGUGAAUAUUGCACAAUGGGCGCAAGCCUGAUGCAGCCAUGCCGCGUGUAUGAAGAAGGCCUUCGGGUUGUAAAGUACUUUUGGCAGAGAAGCGGUAUCUGCAGAAUAAGCACCGGCUAACUACGUGCCAGCCGCCGCGGUAAUAC
rnacentral:rRNA from 1 species